rnacentral:rRNA from 1 species
UAUGUGAUCGUCUCUCGCAUAUCAAUAAGCGGAGGAAAAGAAACUAACAAGGAUUCCCCUAGUAACGGCGAGUGAAGCGGGAAGAGCUCAAAUUUGAAAUCUUAAAGGGUUUCCCUUUACGAAUUGUAGUUUAAAGAAGUGUUUUCUGUUGAGGUUUUGGUAAAAGUUCUUUGGAAUAGGACAUCAUAGAGGGUGAGAAUCCCGUAUUUGACCUUUACUUUCAACUUUGUGAUACACUUUCAAAGAGUCGGAUUGUUUGGGAAUGCAGUCCAAAAUGGGUGGUAAAUUUCAUCUAAAGCUAAAUAUUGGCGAGAGACCGAUAGCGAACAAGUACCGUGAGGGAAAGAUGAAAAGAACUUUGAAAAGAGAGUUAAACAGUACGUGAAAUUGUCAAAAGGGAAGCGUUUGACACCAGUGUUGUUUUUCUGAAAAUCAAUUAAAGAACUGUUUAUGCUAAGUUGUUUAGACUUUAUCAGCUAAUCUGUUAGUUUUGAGCUUUUCUUUAAUGCACUUUUCAGUUAACAAGUCAACAUCAAUUUCUUUUGCUGUAAAAAAGCUUGAGGAAGGUGGCUUGAGAUUCGUCUUAAGUGUUUAUAGCCUCUUGCCUAUGCAGUCGGAGAGAUUGAGGUCUGCAGCGUAGAUCCUUCGGGGCUAAAUGCAUUUGUGCUAAGUUAUAGCAUUUUAUAGACAACUUGUUGACUAUGAUUUGUCUUGUAGCUUACUCGCUUAUGUUAUUUUACCUACGCUUAGGAUGUUGAACGCGCACAGAGUCUC